rnacentral:lncRNA from 1 species
UGAUUUGCUGUUAUUUGAAAUGAAGGACUGAAAUAGAGAGAAAGAGACACAUCGAAGCUGACGUGAGCACAGAGAGAGAAGCCCCAAACCAGAAAACUCAAAGGUUGGUUGUGUUUUAUCUUCUCAGGUUAUUGGUAAAUUGUGAUCUGUCAACAUCUUCUGCUUUGCGGUUAUUUGAAAUCCAGGACUGAAAUGGGGAGAAAGAAACACAACGAAGCUCACGUGAUGGCAGAGAGAGAAACCGUGAAUCAAGAAUCUCAAAGGUUUGUUGUG